rnacentral:rRNA from 1 species
UGGGGAAUUUUGGACAAUGGGCGCAAGCCUGAUCCAGCCAUGCCGCGUGCGGGAAGAAGGCCUUCGGGUUGUAAAUCGCUUUGUCNGGGAAGAAAUCUUCUGAGUUAAUACCUCGGGAGGAUGACGGUACCUGAAGAAUAAGCACGGCUAACUACGUGCCAGCAGCCGCGGUAAUACGUAGGGUGCAAGCGUUAAUCGGAAUUACUGGGCGUAAAGCGUGCGCAGGCGGUUUUGUAAGACAGAGGUGAAAUCCCCGGGCUCAACCUGGGAACUGCCUUUGUGACUGCAAGGCUUGAGUGCGGCAGAGGGGGAUGGAAUUCCGCGUGUAGCAGUGAAAUGCGUAGAUAUGCGGAGGAACACCGAUGGCGAAGCAAUCCCCUGGGCCUGCACUGACGCUCAUGCACGAAAGCGUGGGGAGCAAACAGGAUUAGAUACCCUGGUAGUCCACGCCCUAAACGAUNUCAACUGG